CCGGGAUCAGCCAGGGGCCAGCAUGAGCCGGAGGGAGGGAAGUCUGGUUGGAAUGGGACAGACCCUGAUGGGGUCAGGAACAAAGAGCCAGCGUGGGAGAGGUGAUCAAUGAGCAGGAGGUUGGCCAUCCUCAUUCCUCCCCCCUUUCCCACCAGAAGACCCCCAGACUGAUUCCUCAGUCUCACUUCUUCCCCACUUGGAGGCCAAGAUCCGUCAGACACACAGCCUUGCGCACCUCCUCACCAAAUACGCUGAGCAGCUGCUCCAG
rnacentral:lncRNA from 1 species